rnacentral:rRNA from 1 species
GGCUCAGGAUGAACGCUAGCGGCGCGCUUAAUGCAUGCAAGUCGAGCGAUGAGGCCUUCUUCGGAGGGCACAUCAGCGGCAGACGGGUGAGUAACACGUGGGUGACCUGCCCUUGAGACGGGGAUAACGGAUGGAAACAUGCGCUAAUACCCGAUAGGGUCCCAGGGUCAAAGCUGGGAUGAAAGCUUUGGUGCUCAAGGAGGGGCUCGCGGCCCAUCAGCUAGUUGGUGAGGUAACGGCUCACCAAGGCGAAGACGGGUAGGGGGUGUGAGAGCACGGCCCCCCACAAUGGGACUGAGACACGGCCCAUACUCCUACGGGAGGCAGCAGCAGGGAAUAUUGCACAAUGGACGGAAGUCUGAUGCAGCGACGCCGCGUGGAUGAUGAAGGCCUUCGGGUUGUAAAAUCCUUUACGGGGUGACGAGGAAGGACGGUAGCCCCGGAACAAGCGUCGGCUAACUACGUGCCAGCAGCCGCGGUAAGACGUAGGACGCAAGCGUUAUCCGGAUUUACUGGGCGUAAAGCGUCUGUAGGCGGAUGAGUAAGUUGGGCGUGAAAGCUCCGGGCUCAACCCGGAGAGGCCGUUCAAUACUGCUGAUCUAGAGGAGGCCAGAGGGGAGUGGAAUUCCUGGAGUAGCGGUAAAAUGCGCAGAUAUCAGGAAGAACACCAGUGGCGAAGGCGGCUCCCUAGGGCCCACCUGACGCUGAGAGACGACAGCUAGGGGAGCGAACAGGAUUAGAGACCCUGGUAGUCCUAGCCGUAAACGAUGGAUGCUAGGUGUAGGCCCGUAGAGGCUCUGUGCCGGAGCGAACGCGAUAAGCAUCCCGCCUGGGGAGUACGCCCGCAAGGCUAAAACUCAAACGAAUUGACGGGGACCCGCACAAGCAGCGGAGCGUGUGGUUUAAUUCGAUGCAACACGAAGAACAUCACGUGGGUUAGACAUGGGCGUGGUAGUGAAGCGAAAGCGGAGCGACCAUUCGGGGAGCGUCCACAGGUGCUGCAUGGCUGUCGUCAGCUCGCGCCGUGAGGU